rnacentral:rRNA from 1 species
AGCCGGUGUGAAAAACUCCGGUGGUGUAAGAUGGACCCGCGUCUGAUUAGCUUGUUGGCGGGGUAGAGGCCCACCAAGGCGACGAUCAGUAGCCGGCCUGAGAGGGUGGACGGCCACAUUGGGACUGAGACACGGCCCAAACUCCUACGGAAGGCAGCAG